CCUGGAAUGUGUGACCUCUCCUUGCACUAGUUCUGACUUAACAAUGUCUCUCACUAAUUUUGUUUACAUUACAAUCUUAAGAAAAUAUCUGUGAUUCUCUUUAGAGUUAAGGUAAUAAAACGACAUUUAAUUUUUAUUAUGUUGGACUGAUUAUGUUUUGCCGUUAACAGAGGACAAGCAUUUUGCACUACUGCUGCUGUCCUGGGAGGAAAGAGCUGGGCAUCUCAGAUAUCUGAGUUCUAUCCAAUCAGAGAGAUGGACAAGAUUCUAAAGAUCCAAAGCAAAGCACUACUGAUAUGACAGUUUUUGUGGAAAUAGUGCUAUUGGAGCAAUUGCUGGAGGUGUAGCUGCUGGUGCUGCCUUAC